rnacentral:tRNA from 1 species
GUUAUCUUAGCUCAACUAGUAGAGUGCGUGGCUUUUAACCACGUGGUCAUGGGUUUGAUUCCUAUGCGAAAUA